rnacentral:rRNA from 1 species
GACUCGUCGCUACGAGAGACGCUGGCGGCGUGCCUAACACAUGCAAGUCGAGCGGAGAUGCAGGGCAGCUUGCUGCCAUGCAUCUUAGCGGCGGACGGGUGAGUAACACGUGGGCAACCUGCCUUUCACAGGGGGAUAACACAGGGAAACUUGUGCUAAUACCGCAUAACACAUAUUUGUGGCAUCACAGAGAUGUCAAAGGAGUAACAUCCGGUGAAAGAUGGGCCCGCGUCCGAUUAGCUGGUUGGUGAGGUAACGGCCCACCAAGGCGACGAUCGGUAGCCGAACUGAGAGGUUGAUCGGCCACAUUGGGACUGAGACACGGCCCAGACUCCUACGGGAGGCAGCAGUGGGGAAUAUUGCGCAAUGGGGGAAACCCUGACGCAGCAACGCCGCGUGAAGGAAGAAGGCCUUCGGGUUGUAAACUUCUUUGAUCAGGGACGAAGUAUGACGGUACCUGAAGAACAAGCCACGGCUAACUACGUGCC